rnacentral:tRNA from 1 species
GGCCUCGUAGCUCAGCUGGUAGAGCAUGCGCGUACAAAGCGUAGGCGGUGUCCAUGCGUGGGUUCGAAUUCCACUGAGGCUA